rnacentral:rRNA from 1 species
GAUGAACGCUAGCGGCAGGCUUAAUACAUGCAAGUCGAGGGGCAGCAUGAAUGUAGCAAUACAUUUGAUGGCGACCGGCAAACGGGUGCGGAACACGUACACAACCUUCCUAUAAGUGGGGAAUAGCCCAGAGAAAUUUGGAUUAAUACCCCGUAACAUAAUGAUGUGGCAUCACAUUAUUAUUAUAGCUACGGCGCUUAUUGAUGGGUGUGCGGCUGAUUAGAUAGUUGGCGGGGUAACGGCCCACCAAGUCUACGAUCAGUAGCUGAUGUGAGAGCAUGAUCAGCCACACGGGCACUGAGACACGGGCCCGACUCCUACGGGAGGCAGCAGUAAGGAAUAUUGGUCAAUGGACGCAAGUCUGAACCAGCCAUGCCGCGUGAAGGAUUAAGGUCCUCUGGAUUGUAAACUUCUUUUAUCUGGGACGAAAAAAGGCGAUUCUUCGUCACUUGACGGUACCAGAUGAAUAAGCACCGGCUAACUCCGUGCCAGCCGCCGCUGUAAUAC